rnacentral:lncRNA from 1 species
AGGAAUCACACCCCCCAGCAUGGUCACCUGUCUCUACUGCAGUGGUUAUCUUCCGGCCUUAGAGGGGGCUGGCGUUUGGUCCUCCCAGUCUCCCCAGUGAAGGAGCCCAUGCCAAGCACUAGAGGUGGCCCUUGAUUUCUUGAUAUUACAUAAGGAACUCAAGAGCAACAAAUCUGAUAGCAUAGGCAGAGAGGGGUGUGAAGCCAGGAGGGACGUCGCUGGCCCCUGGAGGAAGCAGGGCGACAUCCUGUACCCUUGAAAAGAAAACGGAAAGUCCUUUUCUUCACGAGAAACUAUUGUGUUUUCCUAACCCACAGGGACGUAGCAGCCUGCUGGAGCCCACCCCGAGGAGCCCUGUGCUAUAUGAUACAUGUCCUGGUGAGAGGAACCUCUUUUCUGGCUGUUAAAGUACAUUCCUGUGUAGAUGUGGAAGGAGAGAAAGCG